rnacentral:pre_miRNA from 5 species
AAAUACUGCUGUUUUUAGUGAGUGAGGGUCCAGUGUUUCACAUGGUUUUUUUCAGAUAUUGUGACUAGAUCCACACUCAUUAAAAACGGUUGUUU